UUUACUCGUGAAUUUCAGAACAAGUAUGAGUGUGAUGUACGAAUUCACUGGGAACCACAAGAGCUUGCCUUGUCAUCCUCUUUGCAUCACGUUGAGACUAUUAAGCUACUAUGCUUUUCAGAAGAGCUAAUGGACGGUGAAGCUAAAACGACAGACGAGCUAAUCAAUGCACACAUGUCACAAAUUGAGCUAGUAAGAUUUUUUCUACAAAACUGCAAGCUGUUGCAGAAAAUGAUUUUGACCAGACACAUGGACAGUCAAUUGGCAGGUAAACCACUCAAGUUACCACUCAAGUUUUCUCAGCAGCUAUUAGAAUUCCCGAGAGCAUCCGCAGAAGCCGAACUGAUUUUCUUGUAAUUUUUUAUCACCUGUAUUGUAUGUUCAACAGAAUUCUCAGGUUUUACUUUCUAAGAUUUUGGUACAAAGUUGCGAUGUUUUAUUUUGUUGUAACAAAGGAAGGGAUCUAAUUCGAAUUGUUUCCAAGGAUGCAUCGAGUGCACCCAACCUCUUUCAGGUUUUGUUGUGUAUUCUGUAUGAUGGAACCUUUGUUGGGCGCUUGGGCCAAAGUCCUUAUUCGUAUUACCCUAGUUUGUCAAAACGUACGAAUGUAACUUGUGAGUGGAAGUAGGUACAUAUCUGAUAUCUGCCUAGUGUUUUUUGAAUUAUAUAUAUAAUUUGUCGGCAUUGGAAA
rnacentral:lncRNA from 1 species